AGAUGAGCAGCGCUCCGGCCAGGGAGGGCGCGUGCUGGCCAGCCCGGAACGGGUGAGAUCGCUCCAGCCCGCCUCUGUGCCCACUCCCCUGUGCGCCCUGCCGGCAGAGCGGCACCCCCGCUGUCCCUGGCGCCCAGUGGGGGCGGCAGCGGGCAGGGCAGCGGGGACCACCGGGGCUGGGGGCUGUUGAGCCCGUGGAGUCCGGCUCGGUUGGGGAGAAGGACGAUGCGCGGCGAGCCCAGGUGAUCCGGGGCUGGGGUCCUGCGCCCGCAGCCCCUGGCCCGCGCCUCACGCUCGCCGGCUCCCCAGCGCGGGGGCUGGAGCCCGCACCCGAGGGGGCGGCAGGGAGGGCGCAGGCAGCGGCUGGGAGCGCAGCGGCAGCGGCGGCAGCAGAAGCUCGGCUCAGCGGCUGGGGGUGGCCGCUCGAAUCUGCCAGGGCACCUCGCUCCCUCGCCUCUGGCAGCGGGACCCUGUGGGCAUUGAAAUCCAACUCACUCAUGCUUAUUUCCUGUAAUGGACAAACUUGAUGCUAAUGUGAGUUCUGAGGAGGGUUUCGGGUCAGUGGAGAAGGUGGUGCUGCUCACGUUUCUCUCGACGGUUAUCCUGAUGGCCAUCUUGGGGAACCUGCUGGUGAUGGUGGCUGUGUGCUGGGACAGGCAGCUCAGGAAAAUAAAAACAAAUUAUUUCAUUGUAUCUCUUGCUUUUGCGGAUCUGCUGGUUUCGGUGCUGGUGAUGCCCUUUGGUGCCAUUGAGCUGGUUCAAGACAUCUGGAUUUAUGGGGAGGUGUUUUGUCUUGUUCGGACAUCUCUGGACGUCCUGCUCACAACGGCAUCGAUUUUUCACCUGUGCUGCAUUUCUCUGGAUAGGUAUUACGCCAUCUGCUGCCAGCCUUUGGUCUAUAGGAACAAGAUGACCCCUCUGCGCAUCGCAUUAAUGCUGGGAGGCUGCUGGGUCAUCCCCACGUUUAUUUCUUUUCUCCCUAUAAUGCAAGGCUGGAAUAACAUUGGCAUAAUUGAUUUGAUAGAAAAGAGGAAGUUCAACCAGAACUCUAACUCUACGUACUGUGUCUUCAUGGUCAACAAGCCCUACGCCAUCACCUGCUCUGUGGUGGCCUUCUACAUCCCAUUUCUCCUCAUGGUGCUGGCCUAUUACCGCAUCUAUGUCACAGCUAAGGAGCAUGCCCAUCAGAUCCAGAUGUUACAACGGGCAGGAGCCUCCUCCGAGAGCAGGCCUCAGUCGGCAGACCAGCAUAGCACUCAUCGCAUGAGGACAGAGACCAAAGCAGCCAAGACCCUGUGCAUCAUCAUGGGUUGCUUCUGCCUCUGCUGGGCACCAUUCUUUGUCACCAAUAUUGUGGAUCCUUUCAUAGACUACACUGUCCCUGGGCAGGUGUGGACUGCUUUCCUCUGGCUCGGCUAUAUCAAUUCCGGGUUGAACCCUUUUCUCUACGCCUUCUUGAAUAAGUCUUUUAGACGUGCCUUCCUCAUCAUCCUCUGCUGUGAUGAUGAGCGCUACCGAAGACCUUCCAUUCUGGGCCAGACUGUCCCUUGUUCAACCACAACCAUUAAUGGAUCCACACAUGUACUAAGGGCUGUUAGAGGAAACAGGAAUUCGACUUCUUCUGCAUAAUGUGAGGGAGAGAGGUAAGAAACAAAGGAUUGAGGUUAUAAGAACAUGUAUUUCAGCACAAAAUGGAAUGGAUUGCCUUACUAGGGAGUUCCUAGUAAAGUUGAAGGAGACAAUUGGAUGACCAUCAGUCAAUUAAAAGUGUUGAUUGACCGAAUAUCAGUAACUGGAAGAACUGAAUGUUCAUUAGUCAACAUUUCUGGGGAAGAGGGAUGCAGUGGAGUGUGGUGGCCAGUGGGAGAGUCAGUGUCACCCGCCAGCAACUUCUCCUUUGGUGGCUGCUCAGCCCAGUGACACUUAGGCCCCUGGGACAAUGACCCAGAAGACAGCCAUGCCUCCGAAAGAGGGCCAGGUCCUAAGCUGCUGCUUGUGCGCGACUGCACCCGGUAUUCUCUUCACCUGAGGCUUUCCGUCCGCCAGUGCAGGAACCCGGUGCUCGCUGGGCUUUUCCUCUGAGAUUCCAGCAGGUGGCGCUGGAGGGAGUCAGGGGACAUAAUGGCCUCCUUGUUCACUUUUUAUUUCCCAACACUCCCUCUUCCCAGAUUCUCUGCUUUUGCCGCGUGGUCUCUGGUGUCUCUGACAUGUUCCCGUCACUCACUGUGUCUGAUCUGUCUCACUCACGUUCUAAGCACGAUAGCUUGCUGCGUCCUAUCUCGGUCACUGAUGUCUCCAAAUACGCCUUCUUUGCUGUGUGGGCUUCCAGAUAUCAACAAAAUACUCCCUCUCUGUUCCUGUCUUAGCCAGAGGCGUCGCUCCUGUCUUGCUUACUUGCUUGGUCACGUCCGUCACAGCCAUGUUCAAGCUAUCCCCUGCCUCUUCUUCGCCCUGUUCUGUGCCAGACGCUAACACACUUUUCUCCCUGUGUCUGGGUCCAAACGUGCAUCCUCUUGGUUGGCCCCCUUGUCAGUCCCAGACGUCCACUUGCUCUUCCUUAUGUCCAAUGUCUGUCCUCCUCUUCAGGACAUGCUCCAUUUAUUUUCCAUGGAAGACACAGGGUCAGAGAUCUGUCAGAGGAAAAUGGUCUCCACAGCAACUCUGGAGGGAAGCUGAAGACAGAUAGCUUCCUCCUGGUGUCCUGGCCGCUGGCGUGUCUGCCCUGAGAUGCUCGCUCUCCUGCUGGGCUAGAACGGGACGUCUUCUAAAAAGCCUUGGGCAGGGCUAGCAACAUCGUAGGUGUUUAUUAGGCUUCAGGAUCUUUCCCAUGAACUUGUGAUAUCAUUUUGAAACCCUUCAAUCUGGCUUUGUUGCUGCCAAAGGAGAUAACUGUUGGAAGUUCACACUGGGGAAACUCAUUUUCCCCUGCAGCUCCCCCAAGGUGCAGGAGGGCAGGAUCCAGCAGCACUGGGGAUGCCGAGGCAAUGCUGUACUUGAAGCCAGAGGACCCAAAUUGCCGCCCUGGCUGUGCUGCAAACAAGCUGUGAGAUCUUGAAUAGUGUUCUUUCAUCUCUGGACCCCACUUUCCACAUCUGUGCACUCAAGCUUGGACUAGAGGACCUUUAAGUUUUCUUUCUGUUUCUAAGACAACAGUAUGCUGCUAUAGCCGUCUGCUACCUCGAGAAGCCAUGGCCUGCCUGCCUUUUGGCUUUGUUUCAAAGGAACGACCCUCCUCAUUUGGGCCUUUUAGACCCCUGACCUUUCCAGCUUUGUCCUUCAGAUUAAUCUGGAUGUCUUUUAUUCAAAGCUGAGUCAGUGGCUCUUGCGAAUGCCCCAUAGCAGAAGUCCCGGGAAGGUAAAUGCCAAACCCAGAGCCAUGUGAGAUUCUGACUUUGAUCUUGGCUGUGGUUUAAUAGCAUCUCAGGAUUAUUUAUCAUAUUCUCUUUUUUUCUUAUUGCUUAUAAGGUGUCAGUUAUUGUUUCCAUUGUUGUUUACUUUAGUUCUGGAACUGAAACCGACAGGAAGAAACUUUGGAAUAAGGAAGAGAAGAUUGACCAAACCAUCCAAAUGCCAAAAAGAAAAA